rnacentral:lncRNA from 1 species
UGGAUGGGUGUGGUAUGGAUGGGUGAUGCAGGGAUGGGUGAGGUAUGGAUGGGUGAGGUAUGGAUGGGUGAUGUAGGGAUGGGUGAGGUAUGGAUGGGUGAAGCGUGGACGGAGGUAGCGUGGACAGGUUCACCAGUUGUGGACUUGCUGUGAGAAGUUGAGCCGUAGAGCUGUGCCGCGUAUUGGCUGACGACCGGCGAGUGGCUGUGAUCUUCCUCCAUAAGAGCUUGCAACUGUGACAAAGUGAGGAAAACACACAAAUUAAGUAGAUAAAGCCUCACAGUUAAUGGAACCUACAAAAGUAGCAUAUAAAUAACAUUACCGUAUGGUGAGAGGAAUCAGCUUUUGGCUCCGUGUGGCAUACAUCGUGUGAAGAGACAGGAACGUUGACGUUUGUUGCUUCAGUCUGACAU